AAAGAAAGAAAGACAGAAAAAACCGACCACACAUCAUGUGGUGUGAGGCUUUGAGGGCGUACGCUAAAACCUUUUCUUUUCUUUUUGCUUUGUUUUUUUUUUGUGUAACGAGAAAAACAAAAAAAAAUGUC
rnacentral:ribozyme from 1 species